rnacentral:tRNA from 1 species
UAUAUAUUAAUGUUUAAUCAUAUAAAUUUUUGAAAUUUAUUAUAUAAGAUAAUUUCUUAUAUAUAUUA